rnacentral:misc_RNA from 1 species
AAGGAGCACCACGAAAAGGGUUGAGACACUGGGUCUUACCCGAGCCGUGAGGAGUCUGUGCGCUGUAGUGGCGCCGGCUUGGUGCACAACAAACUUCUUUGACUGCCAGACACACUAUUGGGCUUUGAGACAACAGGCCCGUGCCCCUUUUCGGGGGGUGGCUUCCGGUUGCGGAGGUCGGCGUGUUGUUGCCUCACUUUGGUGGUGGGGUGUGGUGUUUGAUUUGUGGAUAGUGGUUGCGAGCAUCUAGCACGCAAGGGAACGGGUCGCCGACUCCUCUUUUUGGGGGGUUGGCUGCUGUGUUCUUGUGUGUUGAUGUGCAAUUUCUUUUGAAACUCAUUUUUGGUUUUUGUG